UGGGGAAUAUUGGGCAAUGGGGGAAACCCUGACCCAGCAACGCCGCGUGAAGGAAGAAGGCCUUCGGGUUGUAAACUUCUUUUAGCAGGGACGAAGGACGUGACGGUACCUGCAGAAAAAGCAACGGCUAACUACGUGCCAGCAGCCGCGGUAAUACGUAGGUUGCAAGCGUUGUCCGGAAUUACUGGGUGUAAAGGGCGUGUAGGCGGAGAUGCAAGUUGGGAGUGAAAUCCAUGGGCUUAACCCAUGAACUGCUCUCAAAACUGUAUCCCUUGAGUAUCGGAGAGGCAAGCGGAAUUCCUAGUGUAGCGGUGAAAUGCGUAGAUAUUAGGAGGAACACCAGUGGCGAAGGCGGCUUGCUGGACGACAACUGACGCUGAGGCGCG
rnacentral:rRNA from 1 species